GCAACAUUAAUCUAAUCAACUCUACAUAUACAUGCUGUCCAAACCCAUUUCCGACAUUCUCAACAUCAAUUUCAUGUGCUAAGUGUUUAAAAUAUAUAAAAUUAGCUUACAACUUAUACUAUAUUCAAGUAUUACAAAUAAAGACACCAAUUUCAUGUGCUAAGUGUUUCCAUAUUCUGAUUUUAGCAAGUCAUCUUUGUCACAUAUUAUUGCACUUUUAAUAAGCAUAAUAGCCCAUUCCAAUUGCAUAAAAACAUAAAACACAAAAUAAAUAAAUAAACCU
rnacentral:lncRNA from 1 species